UGCUUAACACAUGCAAGUCGAACGAGUAAGUGCUGUAGCAAUACAGAUUACUGCUAGUGGCAGACGGGUGAGUAAUAUAUGGGAAUCUUCCCCAGAGUCUGGGAUAACUGUUGGAAACGACAGCUAAUACCGGAUAAUACCUGAGGGUCAAAGAUUUAUUGCUUUGGGAUGAGUCCAUAUAAGAUUAGCUAGUUGGUAGGGUAAUGGCCUACCAAGGCGAUGAUCUUUAGCUGGUCUGAGAGGAUGAUCAGCCACACUGGAACUGAGACACGGUCCAGACUCCUACGGGAGGCAGCAGUGGGGAAUAUUGGACAAUGGGCGAAAGACUGAUCCAGCGACGCCGCGUGAGUUUGGAGGCCUUCGGGUUGUAAAGCUC
rnacentral:rRNA from 1 species